UUCCGGUUGAUCCUGCCAGACCCGACUGCUAUUUGGGUGAGGAUAAGCCAUGCGAGUUGAAUGGGAAACCUAAAGUUCCCAUGGCAAACUGCUCAGUAACACAUGAUCAACUUAACCUAUAGAGAAAAAUAACCUCGGGAAACUGAGGAUAAUGUUUCAUAGCUGAAUUGGCUUGGAAAAGUUUUUCGGCGAAAGGGGUAAAAAAAAUGGUUUUUAUCUGCUAUAGGAUAGGAUCGUGUUCGAUUAUGGUUGUUGGUGAGGUAAUGGCUCACCAAGCCGAUAAUCGAUAGGGGCCGUGAGAGCGGGAGCCCCGAGAUGGGUACUGAGACAACGACCCAGGCCUUACGAGGCGCAGCAGGCGCGAAACCUCCGCAAUACACGAAAGUGUGACGGGGUUACCCAAAGUGUUCAAUAGAACUGUGGUAGGUGAGUAAUGUUCCCUACUAGAAAGGAGAGGGCAAGGCUGGUGCCAGCCGCCGCGGUAAAACCAGCUCUUCAAGUGGUCGGGAUAAUUAUUGGGCUUAAAGUGUCCGUAGCCGGUUUAGUAAGUUCCUGGUAAAAUCGGGUAGCUUAACUAUCUAUAUGCUAGGAAUACUACUAUACUAGAGGGCGGGAGAGGUCUGAGGUACUACAGGGGUAGGGGUGAAAUCUUAUAAUCCUUGUUGGACCACCAGUGGCGAAGGCGUCAGACUGGAACGCGCCUGACGGUGAGGGACGAAAGCCAGGGGAGCGAACCGGAUUAGAUACCCGGGUAGUCCUGGCCGUAAACGAUGCAUACUAGGUGAUGGCACGGCCAUGAGCCGUGUCAGUGCCGUAGGGAAACCGUUAAGUGUGCCGCCUGGGAAGUACGGUCGCAAGGCUAAAACUUAAAGGAAUUGGCGGGGGAGCACCACAAGGGGUGAAGCCUGCGGUUCAAUUGGAUUCAACGCCGGA
rnacentral:rRNA from 1 species